CACGAAGGGGGCUAGCGUUGCUCGGAAUGACUGGGCGUAAAGGGCGCGUAGGCGGUUUGGACAGUCAGAUGUGAAAUUCCUGGGCUCAACCUGGGGGCUGCAUUUGAUACGUUCGGACUAGAGUGGGGAAGAGGGUCGUGGAAUUCCCAGUGUAGAGGUGAAAUGCGUAGAGAUCCGGCGGAACACCGGUGGUGAAGGCGGUCUCCUGGGCCGAGGGCCGACGCUGAGGCGCGAGAGCGUGGGGAGCGAACCGG
rnacentral:rRNA from 1 species